rnacentral:rRNA from 1 species
GAUGGGGACAACAGACGGAAACGACUGCUAAUACCGAAUACCUCCGCAUGGAGAAAGGUGGCCUUCUUGAAGCUAUCGCCUGAAGAGGGGUUUGCGUCUGAUUAGCUAGUUGGUGAGGUAACGGCCCACCAAGGCGACGAUCAGUAGCCGGUCUGAGAGGAUGAACGGCCACACUGGAACUGAGACACGGACCAGACUCCUACGGGAGGCAGCAGUGGGGAAUCUUCCGCAAUGGACGAAAGUCUGACGGAGCAACGCCGCGUGAACGAUGAACGUCUUCGGAUUGUAAAGUUCUGUGAUCCGGGACGAAGCAUUGAUUGAGAAUAUUGAUUGAUGUUGACGGUACCGGAACAGCAAGCCACUGCUAACUACGUGCCAGCAGCCGCGGUAAUACGUAGGUGGCAAGCGUUGUCCGGAAUUA